rnacentral:rRNA from 1 species
GACGUAGGGCGCGAGCGUUGUCCGGAUUUAUUGGGCGUAAAGAGCUCGUAGGCGGCUUGUCGCGUCGACCGUGAAAACUUGGGGCUCAACCCCCAAGCCUGCGGUCGAUACGGGCAGGCUAGAGUUCGGUAGGGGAGACUGGAAUUCCUGGUGUAGCGGUGAAAUGCGCAGAUAUCAGGAGGAACACCGGUGGCGAAGGCGGAUCUCUGGGCCAUUACUGACGCUGAGGAGCGAAAGCGUGGGGAGCGAACAGG